UUCUCUAGUGGAUCAGCAAUGGGGGAUUUUCGCAAUGAGAGUAAAAGACUAUCCCUCUUCUCUUCCUCUUAGAAUCCCUAGUUUCAGAUGUUACAUGACUUGCAGCGUGUCCUGUCACAACCUCCCUUCUUCAUUCUCUGCUGUGUGAGAGGAAAUGGGAACACUCAUCGGCAAAGGGAAUUUCUUAAGGAACUCUUAUUGCUGGUGCUGCUGUUGUUUGAGACUUCCAGAAGCCCAUUUUCUCCUGUUAUUGGACGGCUCCAACUGCUUUUGACCAUACCACUCAGGAUUAAGGCAUCUGGACUUCCCUGUAUGUGACAGAUGUCCCUUGGGCCUGGACAACAGAAGAAGUUGCCAUGAGAUUUUGGGCCUUCUGGCUUGAGCUCAGGAUCUAGGAAUGUGGUUAGAAGAGGUAUGUUGGGUGAGAGAUUUGGGGUCAGAUGUAUCAUGUCAAAUACUCAAGUAGAGGGCUAUGCUCUGAGUCCCUCUGAGGUGUGCUCUUUUUCUCUGUAAUGUUUACUUCUCUCCCCUCCCUGAUCACCCCUUCCUCAUCCCUACACACACACACACACACACACACACACAACACACACACUCACACAUGUUUGUAUUCUUCCACCUUUUCUGUGGCUUGACUUGGUAUGUGUGUGUGCAGUAAUACUGUGCUUACAAGGUGUGACUGGGCAAGUACUCAACCUCUCUGCUUUCAUUUCCUCAACUUUAAAGUGGUGCAAGUAACACCUACACCUGGGAUUGUGGGGAAAUUAAAUAAUACAAUGUAUACAAAGUAUCUUGUAUUCUGACUAGUACGUAGUAGGUGUACCAUAAAUUAUAAUUAUUGCUGUUAUGUGAUUCAGAUAGAAUAGGCUCUGAGUACCAGGGCGAGAGCACAGAGGGGAGACUAGGUCAGAGAGAUGUAGGGCGAUGCAAACUUGUCAAAUUAAUGUGGGCAAAAACUAUAGCUGAAGUAGAGGGUACUUUCAUACAUCAAAAAAGUGUGUGCUGCUAAAUCCAUUUAUCUAUAUAUCAAUUUAAAGACCAAAUCAAGGUUAGAGAUUGGGCUGUAUGGCCAAUAGAGGCUGUAUGCCUCUAUAGAGGCAGCAGGCAAAAAUAAGCACUAGAGACAGUUUGUAGGAAUCCAUAAUGGCUAAGAGGAAGCAGAGAGAAUCAUAGUUCAGGUAUGGCAAGAUUGGGUUAAACUGUGUGCAGAGCCCUGAAGGAUGACAGGCUGGCAAACUUGCAAACUGUCAACAGCCAGGUGUGAGGAGAUACCUACUGUGAUUUUGAUUUGCAUUUUCCUGAUGAUUAGUGAUGUUGAGCACCUUGUCGUGUACCUGUUAGCCGUUUGUAUGUCUUCUUUGGAAACAUGUCAGUUCCCUUGCCCACUUUUUAAUAGGAUUGUUUGUUUUUGUUUUUGCUGUUGGGUUGUAUGAAUUCCUUAUAUAUUUUGGAUAUUAGCCCUUUAUCAGAUGUAUGAUUUGUAAUUAUUUGCUCCCAUUCCAUAGGCUCCUUUUUCAUUUCAUUGAUUGUUUCUUCUGCUGUGAGAGGCUUUUAGUUUGAUGUAGUCCUGUGUGUUGAUUUUUGCUGUUUUUGCUUGUGCUUUUGGUAUCAUAUCAAAAACUCCUUGCCAAGACCAACGUUAAGGAACAUUUUCCCUAUGGUUUCUUCUAGGAGUUUUAUAGUUUUAGAUUUUAUCCUUAAGUCCUGAAUCCAUUUUGAGUUAAUUUUGUGAGUGGUGUGAGAAAGAGGUCCAACUUCAUUUUAUGCGUGUAUUUAUCCAUUUUCCCCAACAUGAUUUAUUGCAGGGACCAUUAUUUCACCAUUGAGUAUUCUUGGCUCCCUUGUCAAAUACUUAGCUUUUGACAUGCAGGUGGUUAUUUCUGGACUCCCCAUUCUUUUCCAUUGGUCUCUGUGUUUCUGUUUUUAUGCCAGUACUAUACUGUUUUGAUUACAGUGGUUUUGAAAUUAGGAAGUGUGAUGUUUCCUGCUUUGUUCUUCUUUCUUAGAAUUGUAGGGAGAUGUUAAUCAAAGGGUACAAACUUGCAUUUAGAAGAUGAAUAAAUUCUGGAUUGUGAUUAUAGUUAAUAAUACU
ensembl:lncRNA